AAACCACGAAUCGGACAUCAAAAAGCAUGAAAUUCAAAAGGAAAUUAUUAUCAUCAAUUGCAUUAAAGUUAAAAAUGUGCAAAAAUGUUAUAUUUUACUAUUUAAUGACCAGGAAGUCUGCUAAAGUUAAUUUUACAUAUGGAGGGUCCAAUUAAAUUUACAAUAAUUGCGACUCUAGGUUCGCAAUUGCGAACACUAGCAAAUGCGGACAACCACUCACAAUUGAGGCGCCUGACAGCCUAGGGGAAUAUCGCAAUUGCGACACAGACCUCGCAAAUGCGAAGUUAGCCCCUUCCGCAAAUGCGACCUUACCCAGCCCAAGUUUGCUUUCACAAACGUGAUCAUGGAGAUGCAAAUGCGAUACCAGAUACCCCUCUGCCAUGAUCGCAAAUGCGAUGUUGGUGCAAGCAAUUGCGAUAACUGGAGCACAAGCAUACCAACAACUUGAAAUGAAUUCAAACCAGUCCGAAAUAUGUCCGAAACUCACCCGAGUCCUCGGGCCUCCAUACCAAGCAUCCACACAAAUCUAAAAAUAUCAUACGAACUUGCUCACAUCAAAAUACCAAAAUAAAUCUGAAACCAUGAAUCGGACAUCAAAAAGCAUGAAAUUCAAAAGGUAAUUAUUAUCAUAAAUUGCAUUAAAGUUAAAAAUGUGCAAAAAUGUUAUAUUUUACUAUUUAAUGACCAGGAAGCCUGCGAAAGUUAAUUUUACAUAUCGAGAGUCAAAUUAAGUGUAAACUAUAAUUGCGACUCUGGGUUCGCAAUAGCGAACACUGGCAAAUGCGGACAACGACUCACAAUUGAGGCGCCUGAUAGCCUAGGGGAAUAUCGCAAUUGCGACACAGACCUCGCAAAUGCAAAGUUAGCCCCUUCCGCAAAUGCGACCUUACCCAGCCCAAGAUGGCUUUUGCAAACGUGAUCAUGGUGACGCAAAUGCGAUACCAGAUACCCCUAUGCCAUGAUCGCAAUUGCGAUGUUGGUGCAAGCAAUUGCGAUAACUGGAGCACCAGCACACCAACAACUUGAAAUGAAUUC
rnacentral:lncRNA from 1 species